rnacentral:lncRNA from 1 species
UGUGCCCGACACGAAAUUGAUGUUCGACAUUUGAACAUUCAUAACCGAUGUGCCACAAGAAUAGAUUGAGAUUUGAUAUCUGACUUGUCUAUCACAUUACCAUCCUUUAAAUGCUUUUCCUAAAAUGCCAGCUUGAUCUUCCUUGGUCAACUGGUACAGUAAGAUUGGCAAAUUCAAAUUAGAGCCAUGCAAGCCACUAACUUCCAAUGUAAUGCUUCCUACCUACA